rnacentral:tRNA from 1 species
GUCAGGUUGGCCUAGCGGUUGAAGGCGCCAGACUUAAGUUCUGGUCCACAGUCGUGGGCGUGGGUUCGAAUCCCAUACCUGACA